CGUAGGGGGCGAGCGUUGUCCGGAUUCAUUGGGCGUAAAGAGCUCGUAGGCGGCUUGGCAAGUCGGAUGUGAAAACUCCAGGCUCAACCUGGAGCCGCCAUUCGAGACUGCCAUGGCUAGAGUCCGGUAGGGGAGUGUGGAAUUCCCGGUGUAGCGGUGAAAUGCGCAGAUAUCGGGAGGAACACCGAUGGCGAAGGCAGCACUCUGGGCCGGUACUGACGCUGAGGAGCGAAAGCGUGGGGAGCGAACAGGAUUAGAUACCCUGGUAGUCCACGCCGUAAACGUUGGGCACUAGGUGUGGGGCCUUAUCAACGGGUUCCGUGCCGCAGCUAACGCAAUAAGUGCCCCGCCUGGGGAGUACGGCCGCAAGGCUA
rnacentral:rRNA from 1 species